rnacentral:lncRNA from 1 species
AAUUCUACCUGAAACUGAACACCACACAAGACCCACUUCUAUUGACCGUACAAUGUCUGCGUUGAAGGCUCUUCCCUUCGUCUUUUUCAUAGUAAUACUGGUGAUUAGGCAAAGCCACAACCAGGUUCUGCUAUACUGCAACCAGACGUGUGAAAUUUACCAGAAUAACAGCCGGACUCCUUGUCCUGAGGGAUGCCAAUGCGCCGUCAAGAAAACGGGAACAUUCUUACGGACCUGGAAUUGCUGGAAGCUAUGACGUCGUCGUAAUUACUUACUGCUCCUCUGAUUCUCCGGAGUUAUAUCAGAAAAAAAAUGCUCCUCUUCGUGCAAUAAAUAAAGUGACCAGCUUUUCAAGACCAAUCAUGAGACUCGCAU